rnacentral:rRNA from 1 species
GCUUGGGACUAAGCAUAUCAAUAAGCGGAGGAAAAGAAACUAACAAGGAUUCCCCUAGUAACUGCGAGUGAAGCGGGAAAAGCUCAAAUUUAAAAUCUGGUGGUCUCUGGCCGUCCGAGUUGUAAUUUAGAGAAGCGUCUUCCGCGCUGGACCGUGCACAAGUCUCCUGGAAUGGAGCGUCGUAGAGGGUGAGAAUCCCGUCUUUGGCACGGACUCCCAGGGCUUCUGUGAUGCGCUCUCGAAGAGUCGAGUUGUUUGGGAAUGCAGCUCAAAAUGGGUGGUGAACUCCAUCUAAAGCUAAAUAUUGGCGAGAGACCGAUAGCGAACAAGUACCGUGAGGGAAAGAUGAAAAGCACUUUGGAAAGAGAGUGAAACAGUACGUGAAAUUGUUGAAAGGGAAACGCUUGAAGUCAGUCGCGUCGACCGAGACUCAGCCUCGCCUCGGCUUGGUGUACUUCUCGGCUGACGGGUCAGCAUCGAUUUCGAUCCUCGGAUAAUGGCGAGGGAAAGGUGGCACCCUUUCGGGUGUGUUAUAGUCCCCCGUCGCAUGCGAGGGUCGGGAUCGAGGAACUCAGCACGCGCCUCUCGGCGUCGGGGCUUCGGCUCACGUUACGUGCUUAGGAUGCUGGCGAUAAUGGCUUUAAACGACCCGUCUUGAAACACGGACCAAGGAGUCCAACAUGCCCGCGAGUGUUCGGGUGGAAAACCCGUGCGCGUAAUGAAAGUAAAAGUUGGGACCUCCGUCGUGGAGGGCACCGACGCCCGGACCAGACCUUCUGUGACGGAUCUGCGGUAGAGCGUGCAUGUUGGGACCCGAAAGAUGGUGAACUAUGCCUGAAUAGGGUGAAGCCAGAGGAAACUCUGGUGGAGGCUCGUAGCGAUUCUGACGUGCAAAUCGAUCGUCAAAUUUGGGUAUAGGGGCGAAAGACUAAUCGAACCAUCUAGUAGCUGGUUCCUGCCGAAUUCCCCCUUCAGA